ensembl:lncRNA
GUGAGUAACACAAGGAGAACCAGAGGGAACCUGUACUUACAGUACGCUGUGUUCAGCCCAGAGGUGAAAGCCAUCCAAAGCAGAGUAACUGUGCUUUGUGUCCAAGUUGAUACCUGUGGAGAGGAAAGGAAAGAGAGAGUGAGUAACACAAGGAGAACCAGAGGGAACCUGUACUUACAGUACGCUGUGUUCAGCCCAGAGUUGAUACCUGUGGAGAGAAAAGGAGAGAGAGUGGGUAACACGAGGAGAGACCGAGGAAACCUGUACUUACGCCGCUGCCUGUGGAGAAAGAGAAAGCGAGUGAGCACCCAAGGAACGAACUGUGUGAACCAGUACUUACUGUGAGCUGCAAUCAGCGAAGAGGUGAGAGCAAAACCAAGCCGAAUUAACUGUGCUUUUGUGUCCCAGCCGUUGCCUGUGGAGGAAGAGAAAGAGUGAGCACCUCGAGAACGAACUGUGUGAACCAGUACUUACCGUGAGCUGUAUUCAGCGAAGAGGAGGAAGAAGGAGGGCGCUACGGAUACCUAAGACUCAGGCCGGGGCCCGAGUCCCACGCCCCGGAUCCCCGUGGCCCCCUUGCUCCCUGACCUCUUCCCGGCCAUAGCCCAUCUGGAGGGCCGAGUCAGAGUUUAGUUUUAAUUGCCCUUUCCCUAUUCCCCAAGCUAUUUUUAAAUAUUUAAAUAAAGAUUGUUUUAUCACUUACUUGUUCUCGUGUUGUUUGGCCAUUGGGUUGGCUUUGGGGACCUCCUCGAGGU